AUUGAACGCUGGCGGCAGGCCUAACACAUGCAAGUCGAGCGGUAGAGAAAAGCUUGCUUUUCUUGAGAGCGGCGGACGGGUGAGUAAUGCCUAGGAAUCUGCCUGGUAGUGGGGGAUAACGUUCGGAAACGGACGCUAAUACCGCAUACGUCCUACGGGAGAAAGUGGGGGAUCUUCGGACCUCACGCUAUCAGAUGAGCCUAGGUCGGAUUAGCUAGUUGGUGAGGUAAAGGCUCACCAAGGCGACGAUCCGUAACUGGUCUGAGAGGAUGGUCAGUCACAAUGGGACAGAGACACGGUCCAGACUCCGACGGGAGGCAGCAGUGGGGAAUAUUGGACAAUGGGCGCAAGCCUGAUACAGCCAUGCCGCGUGUGUGAAGAAGGUCUUCGGAUUGUAAAGCACUUUAAGUUGGGAGGAAGGGUUGUAGAUUAAUACUCUGCAAUUUUGACGUUACCGACAGAAUAAGCACCGGCUAACUCUGUGCCAGCAGCCGCCGUAACAC
rnacentral:rRNA from 1 species